rnacentral:rRNA from 1 species
AGAGCGAACGCUGGCGGCAGGCCUAAUACAUGCAAGUCGAACGAGCCCUUCGGGGCUAGUGGCGGACGGGUGAGUAACACGUGGGAACGUGCCUUUUGGUUCGGAACAACUCAGGGAAACUUGAGCUAAUACCGAAUGUGCCCUUCGGGGAAAGAUUUAUCGCCAUUAGAGCGGCCCGCGUCUGAUUAGCUAGUUGGUGAGGUAAAGGCCCACCAAGGCUACGAUCAGUAGCUGGUCUGAGAGGAUGAUCAGCCACACUGGGACUGAGACACGGCCCAGACUCCUACGGGAGGCAGCAGUAGGGAAUCUUGCGCAAUGGGCGAAAGCCUGACGCAGCCAUGCCGCGUGAAUGAUGAAGGUCUUAGGAUUGUAAAAUUCUUUCAGCGGGACGAUAAUGACGGUACCGCAGAAGAAGCCCGGCUAACUUCGUGCCAGCAGCCGC